AUUGAACGCUGGCGGCAGGCCUAACACAUGCAAGUCGAGCGAGCGGAGGACGGGUGAGUAAUGUAUGGGGACUGCCCGAUAGAGGGGGAUAACUGUUGGAAACGGUGGCUAAUACGGCAUACUAACGGAUAACCCAUAUGGGAUUAGCUGUUAGGUGGGGUAAAGGCUCACCUAGGAGACGAACUCUAGUUGGUCUGAGAGGAUGAUCAGCGACACUGGGACUGAGACACGGCCUAGAGUCCUACGGAGGCAGCAGUGGGGAAUGUUGCACAAUGGGCGCAAGCCUGAUGCAGCCAUGCCGCGUGUGUGAAGAGGGCCUUAGGGUUGUAAAGUACUGUCAGCGGGGAGGCGUUACCCGCAGAAGAAGCACCGGCUAACUACGUGCCAGCAGCCGCGGUAAUAC
rnacentral:rRNA from 1 species